UGGGGGUGAAAGACAGGCAGGCAGGGUGUAACACAGGAACAUGUAAAGUGUGUGAUGAAGAGAAAAAAAGCAAGAAGACUCAGGACAGGAUGUCACAUCACCAACUCCAUCUUUUCUGCAGACAUGAAGAAGGGAAAAAAGAAAAGAAAGAGUGAUGGAAAUGUAAUUUUAAACAGCUGAUGGAUUAAGCCAACCUUA